rnacentral:lncRNA from 1 species
UCGCGCCCGGACUUGAGCGCGUGUUGCCGGGCUGGGUCUGUGGUUGUGGAGGGGCGUGUGCGUGUGCGUGUGUGUUUCCUGCGGGGUCGGGGUGGGGUGGAGGCGGGGAGGCCCUCGCUCCUGGGCAUUUCCGCGGUUGCCCGCGGGCCUUCGCUGGGCUGCGAGGAGCGGCGCAGGUCGGACCGGGGCGCGGGCGGCCCCCGGCCCCUCGGAGGGGGAGCGGCGCGGAGGGGCGGGGCGGGGCGCGUGUGUAAAUGUUGCGCACUCGCUUUUCCCCCCACCCCCGCCGCCUUCCAGGGUGCUGGCGUGGGUCCCUCGCCGUCCGUCGGCGACUGUAAAUAGAGCCUGGAUGUUGUUUACAUGAAGGAUCCGGCGGGAGGAGUCUGCGAGGAGGAGGCGGAGGAGGAGGGAGGGAAGACAGAGGAAGAGCGGAGUCCCCGCGGCGGCUGCGUCCGGGGCGAGGGGGAGCCCCGCGCGGCGUCCGGGGACCCGGCGCUACCACGAGGCCGGGACGCUGGACCCUGGGCUCCCCUCACGCCAGCUGCCACCUUCUUGGAGAAGGACCACACCUGUGCUUAUUCUCGCUCUGGAGGAGAGGACUGCAGCUCUGUGGCCAGCAUUUUCCUCCAAAGGUUUUUCAAAAGGUCAUUUCAGCAGAACCAAUUCUUGAAUUGCAUUCAUCCCUCACACUCGUGUAAAAGAGGGAGGGAUGUCAACUCUCGAGGAAACCACCUGCAGAGAAGAGUGCGUUCAACUUGGAGAUCAAUUUUUGUCUGAAAAUUGGUGAGCAUUAUCCCAGAAAGAGGUCCUCCUGUCAACUCUGCAAAGCUAAGAGGAGUAGAGAAAGAGAGGACAAAUUUGGUGGGACACAGGUAUGAUGUUUCUUGUACACUGUGGUCUCAAGUGAAUCCACAGAAAAUGGCUUGGGACUAGUGCCUGACAGGAGAGCACUCCCCAUGGGAUCCCUCUGCUCAGGGUGUGACCUCUGAGUCCCAUGUCCUUCCGGCUCCCUGCAUGGAGCCUGCUUCUCCCUCUGCCUGUGUUUCUACCUCUCGCUCUCUCACACAUGAAUAAGUAAAUAAAUAAAAAGGGAGAACACUCCCCA